rnacentral:lncRNA from 1 species
GUGGAUGGGCAGCAGGCAGGGUCAAGCUGGUCCAUGGCACGUGAGAGGCAGGAGGGACCUCAUGGGAGGGAGCAGGGCAUCUGGACAGCAGGGCGGGGGGCAGUGAGAGGUUGCAGGGCAUCCCACAGCAGCAGUGGCCCAAAGGGAAGGAGGGAGACCCUCGACCUCGCCUGAAGCCACCUGCAGUCAGUACCAGACUUUCCCUCCAGCCGGGAGUGUCCAGGGAGGGCCCUGGCUCCCAGCCAGUCCUGGACAUGGGCCCCUCCUGGGCUCAGGGAACCUGUGGUCCUCUUCAGCAUCUGCCUCUUCCCUCCCUCCUCUGUCCCACGCUGGUCCUGAAGCUCAGGGUUCUGUGUGGACCAGCUCAGGGCGGCCACUCCAGUAGACACUGGCCUGGCUUCUGAGGUCACAGCCCUACCCCUCCCCAAUAUCUUCACCCCCGCCCAGGGUCAGGAAGUCCGAGUCCCCUUUCCCAGCAGCUGCCCUCUCCUGCAGUCAGGGGCAGGGGCUGGAGGUGUCAGGGCUCUGUGAUGGCAGGAAUGACGCCCCCCACCUAGGAAGGAGGGGAGAGGCGUGUGUAGGCAGGGGGCUGAGCUCCGGGCAGCAGCUUCCCUGGCUCUGCCUGCCGGGCUGCCACGGGCUGGUGCACUCAGGCUGGGCAUUGGCUGGAGACAGUCGCAGCCAGUUGCUUGGUGGCCAAGUGGCUGGAGCAGGUGUCUCUGCCCUUGUCCUCAGCCUCCUCUGCACCAUGAGCAGCACAGGCCCCUCAGGGUCUCCCCACCACGGGACACUUGCUGGAUGAGAUUGUCAUCUUUUGACCCUGGUUUGGGGGUACUGAGGCAUCCAGGAGCCCCCACAGGGAGGCCUGAGCCAGAAGAGGCUGAGGAGUGGGAACCCAGGUCACGGGGCUCGGUCCCCAGGUCGGCCAGGCCAGGCCGGAGGCAAGAGGAAGGAGGCCAGCAAGGACGGAGUGGCCGCGGGGGUUUCCCAGCCACACACCCGUUAGCCGCCCAGUGGCACCCGGAAACGUGGGCUGGCCUUCUCUUAAGCCGAGAUCCUGACCUUUCCCACCCGUCCACCCCCUACCAUGGGACAGCUGGAAGACUGAGAGCCCCACGUCACCCAGGGCACGGCCUACAGGAAGGGCUGCCUCCUGAAGCCCCUCUGGCCCAGGAGCCUGGCUGGCUUCGGGAGGGGCCUGGGCACAGGGACACUUGGCCUGCACGAGGCCCGGUUCUUGCCGCUGUGCUGACCCAGGGAGCCCUACCACACUCGGCUCUACCCUAGCCCUGUUCACCCUGCGUCCAGGGGAGGCACUGCCCCUUGGCCACCAGGAGUCCUGCUGGCUGGCAGGCCCCCUCGCCAGCCCCAGUAGGGCAGGGCUUGCCUGGAGUGCAGCGCCCCAGACGGCCACCCGCUGUCUGAUCCUUUCCGAGCCCCGUCUGCCCUCCACUGCCAGCAGACCUCGAGGUCACGGCUCCUCCUCCAAGACCUUCUCGCGGUGCUUUCUCAGGGUCCCCCUGAACCGGUCACCCAGCAAACCCCAGCCGCCCCUGUCUAAGACCCAGGCUUCACCCGGGAGGAGGGUUCCCUCUGGCCUGAGGCCCCAGCCAGCAUCCCAGGAUGUCCAGAGGCUGCAGGCCUGGGGAUGGCCAGGCCCUGACCUUCAAGAGGGCUCUGCCAUCUCGGACCUGAGGUCCGCCCUGUAAGCGGCCCAUGGGGGUGAGCGGCUCUGGGCCCCGCGUGGCCAGGCCUAAAGAACAGAGGCUCUUUCCACUCUCUCCAGGGCCACGUGCUGAGCCCCGUCCUCCUCUGGCUCCAGGGGGCUCAGGCUCCCAGAGGCCAGCCCAGCUGCAGCGGGGCCCCUGUGCAGUGCGUGGGUGUCGGAACAUUCCGCCCACAGAGCCAGGUGCCACCACCCCGGGGCACUGGGAAGUGAAAUCGCUGGGUCUGUGCUGGGCGUGGUGGGUCAGGAGUGGUGGGUCCACCAGGCGGACUUUCAAGGUGGAGUGGGGGCUGGUCCCCUCUGAGUCUGCCCAGCAGAAGAGAAAACCUUUGCCUCAAACAGACUGGACACUCGGGAGUGUGGGAAAGACCCCACCCUGCCCUCUCGCCGACACACGCUUCUGCCCAACGGCCCACGGGGCGGAAGUGAUCUGCGGCCAGAGGGGUGAGCAUCUCAGGCGCGGGUUUGCUGGUCAUGGCCCCCCCAAGGCCUGCAUGGGAGGACCACCCUGCACAGGGCUGGUGGCGAGAGCCCCUGGUCCCAGCCUCCGACAGACACCACUGCCAGCCCCCUACCCGUGUUGCAGGUGAGGAGACUAAGGCUUGGAGGCAGGACCGAGGCAGGCAGCUACAGCUCUGUGGAGAGAACACGUGGCCCCUGGUUUAGAGCAUCACAUGUUUGAGACGGCUACAGCCGAGCCCAUCUAGGCUCAAUCAGCAGAGUGCAGCGGCCACACCUGUGAUCCCAGCUACUGGGGAGGCUGAGGCAGGAGGGUGGAGAGUUCCAGGCCAGCCUCAGCCACUUAGCUGGACCCCGUCUAGAAAUAGAAAAUAAAAAGGUCUGAGGUGUGGCUCGGGGCAGAGCACUUGUCCAGCAUGAGCGAGACCUGAGGUCAGGAGCACUUGGGAAGGUCUGGAGCGCCAUACAGCCCCCCACCUGGUGGCCCCAGCCCCAGCCCCUUCCCGGGCAGCCUCUGCUCACCACCCAGGGCAGGGGGAACGAAGCCACGGACCCAGGGUGCUGGAGGCCAGGACAGAGCUGACAGGCUAUGCCCCGCCAGGCAGUGCCCUGGGAUUGCGGCUGGGCACGGCGUCAUCGGUGGAACAGGCAGCAGGUGGGGAACCCCACUGACCUUGUGCAAGGUCACUCUGCUAAGAAAUAGUGAAGAUGGAAUUGCUGGGUGGGCCAUGUUCAGGGGCCAGUGCUGUUGGACCCCGAAGGCCUGCCCCCGGCAUCUGCGGUCUCCUCACUCCCACUGGGCCCCCGCUCUGGGCUUGUGCGGAGCGGAUGGAGCACCAGGCAGCCCCAGGCCAAGCUGGAAGGGUCUGAUAUGUGGCCCGGUCCACAUUUUCCCAGCAUGGGUUCCUAUAGACUGGGGUUCUGGGCACCCCCAGAGCUGCCUUGGGGGCUGCGAGCAAAGCCUCCGUCCCAGCCCGUGCCCCAGGAGCCCCUGCUGCUCCGUUUACGUAUUCCUGGCUGAUGCUGUCUGAAAUAAAUGAAUAUUGGGCUCCCUUGCAAACAAUUGGGAGGGGGUAAAGAGGUGUGUGUCAGACAAGGUGAACUGGGUUUCAUGCACCCCGCCUUCCGGGGGACUGGGGCCCCGGGGCGGCCGUGAGCCCCUGGAGCUGUCCCGCAAUCCAGCUCUCCCUGGUCCUGGCCUCUGUCUGGACAAGCUGUGCGCUGGCCUCCUGAGCAGGGCAGGCCGUCAGCCUGUGGUCCUGGGACGUCCUCCAGCCGGCAGCCCCCUCUCCCCUCCCAGGGAGGCCCCUUGCCCCACGCCCCACGUCAGCAUCUGCAGCUCUGACAGCCGACGGCAGCCCACCGACCUGAGCCCCUGGUGCAGGGACCAUGUCAUGUUCUCUUGGCCUGGGGUCACCUGGAUGUGGGCAGGAAAGGAUCUUGGACCCUCUUGAGUGCCAGGGCAGCCCUGCUCACAUCUUGCUGCUGUCCCCAGAUCUGCCACUCACAGACCAGCAGUGUGGAGGAGUGGCUGGGUUGAACCAGAGGAAAGCGGUGGUGGGGGGUGAGCAGAGACAUCGAACCCUGGCCCCGACUCAAACCUCAACAUACGAUCACGUGCUGGCCGGGUGGCACGCCUCUCAGGCCAGCUGAGAUGGGGUCUGCAGCUCAGGGGCCUCCGCACGGGGCCACUAGGCACCCUUGGGGCUCCGCCCUCCAUACAUGGUUCCUGGCCACCACCAUACCAACACCACUGCAGCGCAACCUCGGCCCCUGCCUCUGCUCUGGACAGACAUGCAGGAGCAGGGCUUGCUGUGUGUCCUGGGGAGCUGCGGCCUCUCUCUGGACCUUGGUGUGCCCAUCUAAGAGGCGGGAGUAAUGCACUCAGAGAGGAUGGGUGAGAAUGGCUCAGGAGGGGAGGGGCUGGUUCAGUGGAGACCUUUCCCAGCUCCUCUGACAGUCUCCCACAAGCCUUCCAGUGAGGAGCCCUGGGGCUGACCAGGCCAGGCGACAGCACCCUGCAGCCCUCCCGUCCUGGAACCAUGGCUGGGUGCCAUGUUGGAUCUGCACACAAGCACAUGUGUUCUUCCCUGAGGCCACAAGGCUGGCCAUGAUGCUGCCCACCCUGUUGGCAGUCUCCGUCUCUGGCCAAGACGGCUGGCAGACAUGUGGUAGGUAGCCUGGGCAGUGAGAGAUGGCCAGCCCUGCCCAUGGCCGCGACUCUUACCUGCACACUGCGUUGCCCAGAGCAGCUGGGCCUCGGCCAGGCAGUGCUGCUGUCAUCCUCUGCUCAGCAACUUCUAAGGACACAGCCCUGGGGCUGGAGGCUGGGCCUCUGCAGAUCCUGCCCUCUCUCCUCCUUAGGAACUGCCCGGGUCCCUUCCUACCUGGGAAUCACCAGCCACUCUCACAGCCCACGGUGCUGGCCAACCAGUGAUUGCCGAAUGCCAGGUGCCAUCAGAGAACCCAGAGCGAGGUCAGCAGCCCCAUCUCGACUCUGAGCUCCUCAUGUUCUCAGUCCCAGCUGCUGCAUUUGAGAACCUCUGGGAGCUUGGAGAAGUCCUGGUGCCCAAGUGCCGACCAGACCUUCCCCAUCAGCAUCUCUCUUGACAAGCCCCAGGACUCAGAUGGGCACACAGGACUGAGAGUUGCGGACAGGGAGGGAUGGGUCUCAAACAGAGAGAGGAAAAAGUUAUGGAGUCCUGGUCCAAAUCAAUGCCAGGGGGAACUUCCCACUCCCUGUCUAUAGAGUAAGUAUAGAAAUGUCUCCAGCUGGGGCUGGGGAUGUGGCCCAAGUGGUAGCGCGCUCACCUGGCAUAUGCGUGAGGCACUGGGUUUGAUUCUCAGCACCACAUAAAAACAACAUAAAGAUAUUGUGUCCACCUAAAACUAAAAAAAUAAAAAAGUAAUAUCUCCAACUUCCUAGUUCCUUUAAAAGAUCAAAUGAGGCAACACUGCAAAUCCUGGCACAGAGAAGGUGCUCACCCAAUAUGCACUGUUGGGUCUCGGGCACAGGUUAGCCACUUUAAACCCCACAGGCACCUGGGAAAGGAGGCAUUGUGAUCUCCACUUACAGGAGAGGAAACAGGUGCUGAGAGGUUCAGCAUCCUAAGACUAUGCAGCCUGUAGAGAUGGAGCUGCAAGUCCCCCAAGGAUGGUGAUGGCAGUGGUGAUGGUGAUGGUGAUGAUGGGUGGUGGUGGUGAUGGUGGUGGUGAUGGUGAUGAUGGGUGGUGGUGGUGAUGGUGGUGGUGAUGGUGAUGUUGGUGGUGAUGAUGGGUGGUGGUGGUGAUGGUGAUAGUGAUGAUGGUGGUGAUGGUGAUGGUGGUUAUAGUGAUGGUGGUGGUAAUGAUGGUGGCGGUGGUGAUGGUGGUGAGGGUGAUGGUGGUGGUGGUGAUGGUGGUGAAGAUGAUAGUGGUGGUGAUGGUGAUGGUAAUGAUGGUUGUAAUGGUGGUGGUGAUAAUGGUGAUACCUAACAGCACUUACUUUACCCCAGAACUUGUUCUUUGUCAGUUUAUGCAUAUCAGACCAAUAAAUUAUCACAAGCCAAUUAUCAUCUCCAUUUUGGAGAUGAGGAUAGUAACACACAGAGAGGGAGACAGCAGAGUAACUUGUUCAAGACUAGACAGGGACUCAGCCACAAAGGUUGGGUUGAGCCUGGGUCCAUGGCUGCUGUACCGUCCAGCCAUGCUUCAUCUCAUGAAGGCGCCUUGUGAAGUGGAGCACGGGGCUGAGUCCAGAGGAGCGUGAGGAUGCCCUGGGAUCUGGGGUAACAGGAGUGUGAUGACUGAAUGUCUGUGGCCCUCAGCAUUCCUGGGUUGAAACCUAUCCCCCAGUGUGCUAGAAUUUGGAGCUAGGCCUUCACCCAGUCGAAAUCGUGGGAGUGCAGACCACACAGAUGGGCUUGGUACCCUCACAAAAGGAUUCCAGAGCGUUGCUUGUCCUCUGUCCACCACGUGAGGACCAGGCAAGAAGGCAGCUGCCUGCACCUCAGCAGAGAGCCCUGCCUGCACCCCAGCCACACGGCACCUUCAUCUCCGACUUCCAGGCUCCAGAACCGUGAGAAAUAAACUGUUGUUGCUUGUAAGCUGCCUGG